rnacentral:rRNA from 1 species
AUGCGAGUCGUGAGUCCUAGGGACUCGGCGUACCGCUCAGUAACACGUGGGUAACCUGCCCUAUGCUGGGGAAUAACCUCGGGAAACUGAGAAUAAUGCCCCAUAGUUCACCACACCUGGAACGGAGGGUGGAUGAAAGCUCCGGCGGCAUAGGAUGGGCCUGCGGCGUAUCAGGUUGUAGGGGGUGUAAUGUACCCUCUAGCCAUCUACGCGUACGGGUGUUGAGAGACAUCGCCCGGAGAUGGAUUCUGAGACACGAAUCCAGACCCUACGGGGUGCAGCAGGCGCGAAAACUUGGCAAUGCGAGCAAUCGUGACCAGGGAACUCCAAGUGCAUCGGGUAAGACCGAUGCUUUUCUUGACUCUUCAAAGGUCUUGGAAUAAGGGGUGGGUAAGGACGGUGCCAGCCGCCGCGGUAAUACCGGCGCCUCAAGUGGUAGUCGCUUUUAUUGGGCCUAAAACGUCCGUAGCCGGUUUGGUACAUUCGUGGGUAAAUCAAGG